CCUACGGGUGGCAGCAGUGGGGGAUAUUGCACAAUGGGGGAAACCCUGAUGCAGCGACGCCGCGUGGGUGAAGAAGUCUUUCGGUAUGUAAAGCCCUAUCAGCAGGGAGGGAAGAAGCCGGUACCUGACUCAGAAGCCCCGGCUAACUACGUGCCAGCAGCCGCGGUAAGACGUAGGGGGCGAGCGUUAUCCGGAUUCACUGGGUGUAAAGGGAGCGUAGACGACCGUGGAAGGCAGGAGUGAAAGCCCGGGGCCAAACCCCGGGACUGCCCUUGGAACUGGGCGGCUAGAGUGGGGGAGGGGUAGGCGGAAUGCGUGGUGUAGCGGUGAAAUGCGUAGAUAUCAGGAGGAACACCGGCGGCGAAGGCGGCCUGCUGGACCGCGACUGACGUUGAGGCUCGAAAGCGUGGGGAGCGAACAGGAUUAGAUACCCUUGUAGUC
rnacentral:rRNA from 1 species